rnacentral:rRNA from 1 species
UACGUAGGGUGCGAGCGUUGUCCGGAAUUAUUGGGCGUAAAGAGCUCGUAGGCGGCUUGUCACGUCGGGUGUGAAAGCCCGGGGCUUAACCCCGGGUCUGCAUUCGAUACGGGCAGGCUAGAGUGUGGUAGGGGAGAUCGGAAUUCCUGGUGUAGCGGUGAAAUGCGCAGAUAUCAGGAGGAACACCGGUGGCGAAGGCGGAUCUCUGGGCCAUUACUGACGCUGAGGAGCGAAAGCGUGGGGAGCGAACAGG